UUGGUUUGGUUUGUUUUCCUUCUAGACGAUCGUUCUCCUGUGUGCUGGCAAUUAACACGUUCAGGGAAUGAGGGGUGGGGAAUUCUCCACGGAGGGGGUCCGAGAAGUUUGAUUUUCUUGUCCCCGACUACAAAUGAUUGCCUAAUUGGGAGAAACCAUAACUACAACAGUUCACUGGGGGAAACGUGAAAACAAAGUGAACCAGAAAAGAAAUAGAAACCCAGACUUUUCAGUUCCUGUUUAUCCUAUUUUUAAUCUCAACAUCUCAGUUGCUCUCUUUCUGUCUUCCUUGCCUUGCUGGAAUUCGUACACACACCUGGCUUUCCAUUUGCCUUGGGGACAGAGAAGAGGUGGGGCCCGAGAGUGGGGGGCAGCUCCACUGAGGGGGCGGGGGGGACCAGUGCCACGGUGGUGCUUGUCAGAAGAGGGAGGGGUGCGGAAAUCGCCCCCCGUCUAACUCCAAGGUGUCAGGGGAACGCGAGUGAUGACCCCUCCUUGCAUUAUCUGCCCCGGCUAAGAGACCCUGGCCAUUCCAGCCCCAGGGAGGCAAAGGCAAAGAAAACCAAGGACGUCCUGGGGGUUGGAAACCUUGCAAGAGACAACAACUGUUCGCCAGGGAGGCCGCUCUCACUCUGCCGUGUUGGUGCCCAUGCCACAGUGUGCUCAAAAUUGUGAAAAUACUUUCUCUUCCUUUUAUGAGUGAAAUAAUUCAUGCCGUCGUGUGGUUCUGUCACGGGAAAAAAAAAAAAAAAAAGAAAAGGAAAGGGAACAGAGCGCCUCAAGGAAAAUAACGUCUUCUGAAACAGUCAGAUGUGCGAGCCGGCGUUUUAAGUUUUUGUUUUUAUUUUUAAGGUUUAUGUAUUUAUUUGAGAGGGGGGAGGGGCAGAGAGAGAGGCAGAGAGAGAAUCCCAGUCAGGCUCCCUGUUGUCAGCGCAGAACCCAAUAUGGGGCUCCAUCCCACGGACUGUGAGAUCACGACCUGAGCUGAAAUCAAGGGUUGGACACUUAACCUACUGAGCCCCCCAGGUGCCCCUAAACGGGGAUUCUAAAGCCUGACAGGGAGGAGCCUCGGCCCCCACCCUGGGCUCUCACGGUGCCCUGGAGCUCUAUUUUCUGACUUGUUGCCUGUGUGUCUGUCUUCCUACCCAACUGGGAGCCUCUGGGGGUGGGAGCUGCGCCCUUUUGUCACCUUACGCCCAGCACAGAGCACUGCAGCACCUGGCCUCAUGGGCACACAGGGAGGUCUGUGAGGAUCCUCCCGUGUGGCUUAUGUGUGCCCAGUCCCCUCCAACUGCUGUCCUUCAUUCAGCACAGACACCGCCUGGAACCCCAGAGCCGCUCCCCAAAGGGACGUAUUCAGCCUCCCACCUGCUUAGCCAUUCAAAGUCUCCCCAUCAGAAACCGGGGUUUGCUGCCUGCCCCCUCUAGUCAGCAGGCGUCUCCAGAAUCUGCAAGGGUGUCCCUGAGGUAGCCUUAGAUUCCCUCUUCCCCUGAUGGCUUUCAUUUGGUUAAUUGACCUGGCAAAUUAUCGCUUGGGAAGGUCCGUCACUAGCUUCCACCCCAGAGAAAGGAUGAGAAGACCAUCAGACCUCUGUGGGGCCGGCCUACAUUCCCUUCCAACAUGAAGUGUUAGAGCAUGAGGUGUCUCCACCUGGAGAGCCGGAACCUUCUGGAAGACUCUGGAUCCUUGUACAGGGUGUUGAGCUGCUGGCACCGAACUCAGUAAUAAACGUCCUCGGUUCGUGCAGUCUUCACUGUAAGGGUGCUCAUUGGAAACUGUCUCACUAGGCUUCAAUGAUUUGAAUAGAAAUGGAUAUAUUUAAUAAAAACAAUCUGCUUUGUGAAAUUGUUUCAGAAGGUUUUGUUUCGGUGGUGGUGGUUCUUAUAUGUUUUCUUCAGCCCCAGAUAAGCUUGAAAUAAAUCGCUGACAUACAAUUAAUGUUAAAUGUCAUCAUAUUUUGAGUCAAGCUGAUUUUGAUGACAGCGAAGAACAUUUUGAAGCCGUUCCAUGAUUUUCACAACACAACGGAUUUUAGAAGGAAAAAAAAAAAAAAAGAUUCCCAUAUCGUAGACCUUGAAAAGUGCUAGCAGUGUUGUUUAGCCCCUCCAACAUAAGCACCCACAACAGUAAAGCAAACAAAACCCACAGUGGACUGAAAAUGUGGUUUCUGGAACUCUCUUAAACCUUGGCUAACUUUUGGGGGCUCCCAAAGGACAAGAUUACUUCAUGUCAAAGCAAAAAUUCUCCUGACUCUGUAAACAACCCACAGUUCUGGGAAAUAUGGAAAAUGUAGAUCAAAACUGAAAUUGUGUUGUAUUUGGACAGGCUGUCCCAGACGAUGAAGUUUAGUCCCAUGGGACCCACCUCGGCUGCUUUGGGGGGCUGUUGGGGCUUUUUUCUUCCCGUGUCCACUCUCUCUCUCUUCCCCUUCUUCCUCAGAAUCCCGGUUGCCAAUCAAGAACACCAACAAUGCUAUUCCCACCAACCUGGACUGGAAGGCCCGAUCCUUUUUCUCGAGCUCAAACCGCGCUGUGCAUUUUCACGGUAUCAUAUUUGUGUUCUGUGGCGUCUUCAGAAACUUGAAGAGUCAAAAGACAAAAGCCACUGAAUGUCUCAUUUCCCACUAGUUUUGUGGCACAGACCAAAUUAAUGCUCUCUUUUCUCCUCCCCACCACAUGGCUAAUUCCCGCUUCAUGCUUCGGUGUGGAUGAAUGGCAACACGACACUCUCACCGAGAAGAUUUUAUGGUCGGGUGAAUGUCAAGCAAAUUUUGAAAUACGUUCUGAUUCCAUCUGGACAGAAGACAGCAGUGAGCACAAUACAGCGUCUCAUCAGAAUAAACUCAACUUUUCUUUUUUUCCCCCCCCGCAUCAUAGGAUUUAUGUUGUGAAGGUGGAAAGACGAUUCACCCACAAAGAGGAGCCUGUGAUAAAGAAAAGGUUAUAUCCUUGAAUUUUAAAUUUCACCUAAUAAACUAUCCGGACAAAGGAGAUUAGGGCUUUUGGCAGAAUCCUAGGCAAUUUGCCUCCACGAGAAGGGAGAGAGCCAGAGGAGAAGGAACCACAGUGCAUCCCGUCUGUCCCUUCCGCAACUGGGAUCUUCCCUUGUUUUAAACCAAACAAACAUUAACAAGGAAGGCCAGCUGCUUUUACAAUGAAUAAACCCAUUACCUCAACUCCCUGUA